AAGUCGUAACAAGGUUUCCGUAGGUGAACCUGCGGAAGGAUCAUUAAGGAUACCAGGCUCUCGGGUCGUAUUCUCACCCUGUGUUUAUCGAAACCCUGUUGCCUUGGCGCUGCGGCGCCAGAGGAAUCAAACAUUGGAAUCUCUGCUGUCUGAGUAUUCUGCAAUAACUAAAACUUUCAACAACGGAUCUCUUGGUUCUG
rnacentral:misc_RNA from 1 species